rnacentral:lncRNA from 1 species
CCCAUUUGAUAACUUCUUUCUAGCUCACUCUUUCACGUGAUGAAGAUGAUGUUGGAUUCAAUACCCACAAAACAAAAAAGUAAAAAAAAAACUAUAAUUCAUCAAUCGCACAAUACAAAUAUAAUAAAAAAUGCGAAAAAAAUAAAGGAGUUAUAAUUAAACAUGAAUAGUUUUAAGAGACUAUUUAAAUCCUUUCUCAACUAUAAUGGACCUUUUAAAAAAAAAAUCAUUUUCUCGUUUCUUGUCCUAAUUGAAGAAGAAACUUUUUAUUUUCCUUUUUUACUUGGUGUACAUUUUUUGAAAUAUAAAAGUUUAUUAUUGCACCAUAUUGUGAUAAUUACUUUUCUAGUUGAAGUUACUCAUAUUGCGUAUGUUUCAAUUUUGUCGUAUAUUCCCACAAGAAGUUACUCCUUUAAGAUAGAGCUUUUCUUUUUCUUUCUCAUUUGGUAAGAAAAAACUUUUGUCCAUUGAAAUUAUAUCUCUAUUAUCUUUUAAAUCUGAAAUUGGUAGCUAAACGAAUUUCAUUUCUCUAUUAUUAUCUCUUUAUAAGUAUGAUCAUCUUAGCCAAGUUAAUUAACAAAUUUUAAGGAACAAAAUUUUUAUAAGUCCUAAUUGUUUUUUGCCAGUCACUAUGAGAAAAAUUUAUUGCAAUUUAGAUUUUUGAAACCUCAUCCAUUAAUUGGCGUCACACCAAAAAAUGUAAUACCCUAUCUAAAUCACAAGUGAUUAAAUCAGUAUUAAAAUGAUCCCAUUAGAAAAAAUAAAGAGACACAGUAACAUAUACCACAUAGGCUGACUCCUUAUCCCCCCCAAAAAAAAAAAAAAAAUACACAGCGGCGGACCCACAUUUAUCACAGGGUUCAACUGAAUCCCCUGUGCCCGAAAAUUGUUAUGUAUAUAAACAGGCGUAUGACUAAUUGUGGCUUUAUACACAUUCCUGGUGUUGCACGGGGAUGUGAUUGGCAGCAUAUCGGAGCCUAUGUCAAUCUUUUUUCAUUUUAAUUUUAUUGUAGUAAUUUGAUGAGGAAGAAGUCUAACCCUUGCUAGCUGUCCGUUAUGACAGAUACCACAGACAUAGAAGAGCGGCCAUGUCCGCGACAUAAUCCCCGAUUCCCUUCUCAUAGCUGAAAAUGUAGCCAAAUACGUUUCGAUAAGCAAAGACAGUUGUGCUUAAGCUCACAAAGCAAAGACAACCUAAAGUGCUGGGUUUUUGUAUAUCUAUCUCUAUGAUAUGCAUGCCCAAAAUAUAUAGUAAGAAUCAACCUAAUUACUCUAUAAUAGUAUCUAAAAUAAAAAAGGAUAUAUUAGGUAAAAGAAAGGUCAUCACAACAUUACAAGAGAGUAAAAAAAUGCUCAAGUAGGAAAGAGAACUUUCAAUAUCAACCUUAAUCUUACAUUUACAAUGUUUAAGCAUAAAUUGCAUCAUUUAUUUAAAAGAAAACUUAACUUGCAAAUAAACAUAAAUUUGGAGGUAAUCUCAUUUCAUCAAAACCAAAUAUAAGCACAAAGAUGGCAUAUAUAAAGUAUAAAAAUUGGAACUUUGAGUAGCAAACUCCAUAUAUUUAAAAAAAAGAAAAGAAAGAAGAAUUUACCCAUAAAUUGCAGUAUUUAAAAAAAAACAUAAAUUGCAUAGAAACAUAAAUUGAAUGGAACCCAUUUCAGAAAAUAAUUAUAUAUAAGUACAACGAUGGCACGUAUAAAGUAUAAAAAAUUACAACUUCGAGUUGUGAAACUACAUAAUAAUAAAAGAGAAAAAGAAAUUGACCCAUAGUGGCUUGUUUGUAAAAAGUUGUUCACCCAUUCGAAUAACUUCUUUCUAGCUUACUCUUCCAAGUGAUGGCGAUGCUGUUUGAUUCAACACCUACAGCUACAAAAAAUAAAGAUUUUUUUUUCAUAAAUCACACCAUACAAAUAUAAUAAACGAUGUUAAAAAAUUAAAGUAGCUAUAAUUAAACCUGAAGAGUUUCAUGAAUGGUAUUUAUAUGUUCGUUGAGUGCACACUUUCGCUGCUUUCCCAUUUCCCGGAAAAGUUAAAAUUCGCUAUACUAUUUGUAGAAGAGUUGAGGCUAACUGAACAGUAUUGAGUUUCAU